CAGCUGCACAUUGACGUGAAAUAUAUGAUAUUUGCGAUCCUGAAUCAAGUAACGUUCUAAUCAAUUUUUGUUUGUCAUUAUUGACAAUUUUAACAACAACCGUUUGCAAUGAAGUUUCGUUCGAAAAAUUGUUAGUUAAAGUAUUUUCAACCUUAUUGUUUGGAUUUUUAUCAUCUUGAUCAGUGAUACCUUUCUUCACAUGCAAAUCAGGACAUAAAAUGGGUGACGACGCGUGUCACAGGGAAAGGAGGAGUGCGGUGGAAAUCAAGUACAAGUGGCUGAGAGAUAGAAAUGGUGCCUAAUCCUCGUUAAUCGAUUCAGAACGAUUUUUAAAUGUUUUUUUUUUAUAUAAAAUAAAUAAUAUUUGCGUAUUGAAGUUAAGAACCGCAGCUUCACAUCCAAAGAGCCGCAUGUGUUUCGCGAGCUGCAUGAUUUUCGCGAGCCGCAAGUUGCCGACCCCUGCCCUAGGAAAAAUAGAAGAACACGAUAAAUAAAGCUCAUCUUUACUUUGUGAUAUAUAUCAUAGUGUUUCUUUGUGACGCCACAUUGUCUGCUUUCCUUUUUAAUAUCUCAUUGAUGUCACUUUAAUUAGCCGGAGAUAUAUGUCUACUGUAGAAAACCGGUCCUAUAUUAUCGUCCUAGAGUUGAAUGAAUGAUUUUCACA